CCUACGGGAGGCAGCAGUGGGGAAUUUUGGACAAUGGGCGCAAGCCUGAUCCAGCAAUGCCGCGUGAGUGAAGAAGGCCUUCGGGUUGUAAAGCUCUUUUGUCAGGGAGGAAACGGUUGUGGCUAAUAUCUGCAACUAAUGACGGUACCUGAAGAAUAAGCACCGGCUAACUACGUGCCAGCAGCCGCGGUAAUACGUAGGGUGCAAGCGUUAAUCGGAAUUACUGGGCGUAAAGCGUGCGCAGGCGGUUUUGUAAGUUUGUCGUGAAAUCCCCGGGCUCAACCUGGGAAUGGCGAUGAAGACUGCAAGGCUAGAAUCUGGCAGAGGGGGGUAGAAUUCCACGUGUAGCAGUGAAAUGCGUAGAGAUGUGGAGGAACACCGAUGGCGAAGGCAGCCCCCUGGGUCAAGAUUGACGCUCAUGCACGAAAGCGUGGGGAGCAAACAGGAUUAGAUACCCUGGUAGUCCACGCCCUAAACGAUGUCUACUAGUUGUCGGGUCUUAAUUGACUUGGUAACGCAGCUAACGCGUGAAGUAGACCGCCUGGGGAUACGGUGCAAGNUUAAAACUUAAGGAAUUGACCGGNGNGAGAGUGACGAGACGACGACGAGGAGGAGG
rnacentral:rRNA from 1 species